AUGCUACAAAUCAAACCAGAAUGGGAAAGAGAAGUGGAAAUCAAAAUCACAGAAGAUGCUGAAUUUCACAACUCCGAUCCGUAUGAUUUCGUCUAUAGCAACAUACCGAAGAACACACAUGUGCUCAAAACGGUACCAAAUUGCAGCUUCUGCCAUGCAACAAAAUUCAAGAAUAAACGACUAAGUUGCAAAAAAGGAAAGAUAAGACUAGCCAAUCCAGAUACACCACCUGAGCUCAGGAGACUUUGGACAAGCAACGACUCUGAUGCAAGACAUUUUCGGAACAAUAUAAGAUUUUCCAAUGGACACUUCUCGUUUACUACUUUAUACUACAACCUUGAUAAAGAAACAACCGACAUACAAACAGCUGGUAUAUACACGUUUUGA
rnacentral:rRNA from 1 species